GCCCCCGGCCUCUGCGGGUACCCGCCGUUUGGCUCCGCGAGGUCUCCUCUCGCCUGCUGCGGUGUGGCGCCAACUUACACCUGCUGGCGGGGCGGGGGGACUACAGGAGGUGUGUGCGCGCCCCCCCAGGCCCCCGCGAGGCCGGGCCCGCCUGCCCAACCCCUGGCUCCUGCCUGCCCCUUGCCCGGGCGCUCAGGCCGGUGGGGCGCGCUGAGCCGCGGUAAUGGGCGCCCCGGCCCGGCCCACGCCUGUCGCAGACCUGGGAACUAGGAGCGCGUGGAGAACCGCCCCUCCCGGGGGAGCUGGAGCUGUCCAGGCGGGGCCCGGGGUGCUCCUUACACACAGCACCACUGAGCGCAGCGCCCAGAAGAGGGAAGGGCCAAGGCCACAGCCUGAGUUCCUAAGGGGACUCUCCCUGCCAAGGAGCAGAGUUCAGGCCAUGCAGCUUUAGAAGCAGCGACCUAGACUCUGGGAAACCAGAAAUGGAGCUCGAUUCUAUUGACUUGAAGGGGCAGGGGUUCCUGGGAGCAGCCCCCUGAGGACCCUGCUCCCAAGUCUAGCACAAGUUCAAAAGCAGACUGUAGGGUGAAGCGUCCUUACUCUGUUUCCUCAAGAUGAAAAUGGCUGCAAGGUCCCAGGUCACCAUUUACCCUGGGCCUGGAAGCAGGACAGGAUCCCCAGUACUUGCUGAUGACGCUGACAUGUGCACAGGGAAAGACCAGAGUCCCAUCAUCCCUGGGGAGUUUAGCCAGGGCGCAUCACCCUGGACUUUCCUCCCCUGGACCACCAGCGGAUCCCCCAACACGGUGGCCGAACAUCCACUGCGUUAUAACUAAAUGAAAUCCCAGCAGCUGAAGGGUCACACAACACAAACGUUCCCUGGCAAGACCCGUAAAGUGGCGGCUUAGGGGAAAUAAAAAUCUCUCCGCUCUUGCUCUUCCUGCAGUCCUUUCAGAGUGGGCGGGCCUGAACGCGGAUGGCCAAUGGCCCAGCAAACUCACUGAGCCCGUGUGAGGCCCCAGGUGCUGUGUGGAGGCAACAAUGUGCACAGACUGAUUAGAGCCAUUUUGUAGCUGAGAAACAGGGCAGGCUGGGCAAUGCAGCUUGUCUGACCAGUAAGUGGGCUGGGACUUGUCCUUGGAGGACCCCUGAGCCUGUGUGGACUUCUAGCUCUUAUGUCACCUUCCUUCCUGUGGUUUAUUCAUCUCCAGACUGUUGCUAAAUUUCUGUUUCUGUCACCCAUAGUAGCUAAAACUUGACCGUGUCCGAAUGGGCUAGAGUUUCUCUAGGAAGGCGAUCACGUGGCCGAGCUCUAAGGCAAGGUCCCAAAUAACCUCGCCUACAUCCACAUAGCAGGCCUUUCAGGAUUUGUCCCCUGGGCCGGCGCUGCACUGGACUCCAGGCACACGAUGGGGCGGGUCUCCAACAACAACCAAAGAGCCGGUCGAUAAUCACACGUGGAACUGCAAAACUACGGCUGUGAUAAGCCAGUGGUGCUGCCAGGACCUGGAGAGCUGGUCAGGAGGAACCAGACGGGUCCGGUUCAGCUUUCCGGGGAUGAGAAUUAACAAGGGAGGCCGAGGGACCCACAGGUGCACUGGUGUCUUGCCUGUAGGACUCCUGAAAAGAUGCAGGAGACAUGACUUCGCAAGUUGAGUUAUAACACCCCAGCAGUGCUUUCAAGAUCCUCUGGGAUCCCAGGAUCCCACGGUUAUGCAACACUGCCGAUUGGUUUUCAUUUGAUAACGUCCGUGAUUUCCUCCUGCAAAUCUGCUCCCACGUGUUUGAGUCUCAGAGUUCUCUAGCAAGUUGAAAGGUCUUAAAGUCCAUCACCCUGAAAUCCGACUCUAAAAUCUUAGCAAAGAGUGCCAUCUACUGGUGGCCCGAUUAAAGAGCUAAUUUAUUAAAAGCUGUGUUGUUUUUUCUCAGGAAGGCUGGUGGGGAAAAUAUCUGGAACGUUUCUACAGAGGAAAGUUGGCUGGAGUUUCUGCCAAGAGCCUUAAAGCCCUGUGCCCUCUACCUAGUAAUUCCACUUCUGGGAAUUUCUCUAAGGAAGUAAAGAGAAAAAGCGGAUCCAAAAAUCCUACAUUGAUGUGGAAACUUGCCCCCGUUGUGCAGCUGCCCGGUCUGUGUAUUCUCAAUCCCACGAGAAAUAUUUGUGUCCUUUUCACAAGAGAAAAGAGUGCCAGCCUGGACUUGGGGGCCCUGGGUUCAGAUGUGGCCUCUGCCACUGUGGUUAAUGCUGCACCCAACUUUGGAGAUUCCGUUUCUCUUUGUGAAGCAGGCCGGGUGGGAGGAGCCGACGGUGAAGCCCCGCAUCCUGCAUCCCCGCAGAGCAGCAGAGGCGGCGAAGAUCAGAAGAUCAGCGUCUCACUAGAAAGGUGUGCCUCCAGGGCCUUGCGGCGGACCGGCUGUUGGGGUGCUGGGCCUCCAGACUCUGAUUCUUUCCCAGCAUGUGCUGGGCUGGAAUGUGUGUCAGAGGAAACGUGGAAAGAAGUGGUUCUACACUCACGCAUCUUCUGAUGUGGUCACUCGUCUGGGUGUGGUCACUUGCCUGGCUACAGCUCCUUGUCCAGGUGUGGUCUCAGCUGCAGGAAUGUCCACGUCAGGCAGCUGAUGAGCCUCUGGAAAUGUACCUCUCUUGCUCGCUGCAACGUGUCUCCCCUCCUGUGACCACUGACAAUUAAAGGAGACCCUUUACACUUGCCAGCAACCUGAUGGCCUAUAACCAGCUGGUGUCAACAGCCCCACCAGUCUCUGGCACAAUUAAUCCCCCAAACCCUUGACCACCCAACCACUCAGGUCUUCCCCCCCUCCAAGGAGUCUGGGUUUGGGACUCUGGGCUUCUCUUGGGGGUUUAUCCCAAAGGCCUGGGUUGACAAGUCAGAACACUGACUGGACAUUUGGGUCCUAGUCUGAUUUCUUCACAUGGAUAAUAUGCAACUAGUGUUGGGCAUCUAUCCUGCAUGUCCUUGCACGGGCUCAUUUGGGACAUGGCCCCCCACCUUCUUUCACUGACACCAGUUGAGUUAUAUCCUCCUGGAACAAUAGACAGAAAUCCUACCCACCAAUACCUCAGAAUGUGAUCUCAUUUGGAAAUAGGUUAUUGCAGAGGUAUGGGAAGGUGU